rnacentral:sRNA from 1 species
CAGCUUCCAACCGCCAGAGAACAGAGUGA